rnacentral:sRNA from 1 species
GGCACACAAGGCAGCCGGGGGCUGCAAGAGGACAGCUCAAGCCCUCAGCAUUACAGGCAAAUAUCGACCGACUGACCAAUGUGGCCGAUUUUCGAACUGCUGGUUCGAUCUGAGAAUUUGAACCUGCAUGAAAAUCAUCUCUGUUCGCAAUACGGAGGAUCCAUCUGCCUAAGGGGCUUUUUCCCCCUACUUUCCUCUAGUCGCUAAUUACUUUAGGCAAUCUUCUCGAAGAAAAGACCUGCAACCAUUCAAAACUAGGGGGCUACUUGGCGCGCUCUAUUGUCUCAAAAGUCAAAUCGUGGCGCAUCCGCCUCGAAAGGAGGAUCGAUGCCCCUGCAGGCAAAAGGACGUCAACAGCAGACAAAGUG